GAUGAACGCUGGCGGCGUGCCUAAUACAUGCAAGUCGAGCGAACGGACGAGAAGCUUGCUUCUCUGAUGUUAGCGGCGGACGGGUGAGUAACACGUGGAUAACCUACCUAUAAGACUGGGAUAACUUCGGGAAACCGUAGCUAAUACCGGAUAAUAUUUUGAACCGCAUGGUUCAAAAGUGAAAGACGGUCUUGCUGUCACUUAUAGAUGGAUCCGCGCUGCAUUAGCUAGUUGGUAAGGUAACGGCUUACCAAGGCAACGAUGCAUAGCCGACCUGAGAGGGUGAUCGGCCACACUGGAACUGAGACACGGUCCAGACUCCUACGGGAGGCAGCAGUAGGGAAUCUUCCGCAAUGGGCGAAAGCCUGACGGAGCAACGCCGCGUGAGUGAUGAAGGUCUUCGGAUCGUAAAACUCUGUUAUUAGGGAAGAACAUAUGUGUAAGUAACUGUGCACAUCUUGACGGUACCUAAUCAGAAAGCCACGGCUAACUACGUGCCAGCAGCCGCGGUAAUACGUAGGUGGCAAGCGUUAUCCGGAAUUAUUGGGCGUAAAGCGCGCGUAGGCGGUUUUUUAAGUCUGAUGUGAAAGCCCACGGCUCAACCGUGGAGGGUCAUUGGAAACUGGAAAACUUGAGUGCAGAAGAGGAAAGUGGAAUUCCAUGUGUAGCGGUGAAAUGCGCAGAGAUAUGGAGGAACACCAGUGGCGAAGGCGACUUUCUGGUCUGUAACUGACGCUGAUGUGCGAAAGCGUGGGGAUCAAACAGGAUUAGAUACCCUGGUAGUCCACGCCGUAAACGAUGAGUGCUAAGUGUUAGGGGGUUUCCGCCCCUUAGUGCUGCAGCUAACGCAUUAAGCACUCCGCCUGGGGAGUACGACCGCAAGGUUGAAACUCAAAGGAAUUGACGGGGACCCGCACAAGCGGUGGAGCAUGUGGUUUAAUUCGAAGCAACGCGAAGAACCUUACCAAAUCUUGACAUCCUUUGACAACUCUAGAGAUAGAGCCUUCCCCUUCGGGGGACAAAGUGACAGGUGGUGCAUGGUUGUCGUCAGCUCGUGUCGUGAGAUGUUGGGUUAAGUCCCGCAACGAGCGCAACCCUUAAGCUUAGUUGCCAUCAUUAAGUUGGGCACUCUAAGUUGACUGCCGGUGACAAACCGGAGGAAGGUGGGGAUGACGUCAAAUCAUCAUGCCCCUUAUGAUUUGGGCUACACACGUGCUACAAUGGACAAUACAAAGGGCAGCGAAACCGCGAGGUCAAGCAAAUCCCAUAAAGUUGUUCUCAGUUCGGAUUGUAGUCUGCAACUCGACUACAUGAAGCUGGAAUCGCUAGUAAUCGUAGAUCAACAUGCUACGGUGAAUACGUUCCCGGGUCU
rnacentral:rRNA from 1 species